GACGAACGCUGGCGGCGUGCUUAACACAUGCAAGUCGAGCGGGGAUACGAGGGAGCUUGCUCCUGAGUAUUCUAGCGGCGGACGGGUGAGUAACGCGUGAGCAACCUUUCUCUCAGUGGGGAAUAACACAGGGACACUUGUAAUAAUACCGCAUGAGACCACAGAGUCGCAUGACUUAGGGGUCAAAGAUUUAUUGCUGAGAGGUGGGCUCGCGUCUGAUUAGGUAGUCGGUGAGGUAACGGCCCACCAAGCCGACGAUCAGUAGCCGACCUGAGAGGGUGAUCGGCCACAUUGGGACUGAGACACGGCCCAAACUCCUACGGGAGGCAGCAGUGGGGAAUAUUGGGCAAUGGGGGAAACCCUGACCCAGCAACGCCGCGUGGAGGAAGAAGGUUUUCGGAUCGUAAACUCCUGUCCUCAGGGAAGAGCAGAAGACGGUACCUGAGGAGGAAGCCCCGGCUAACUACGUGCCAGCCGCCGCAGUAAAAC
rnacentral:rRNA from 1 species